GAUGAAUGCUGGCGGCGUGCCUAACACAUGCAAGUCGAGCGGCAGCGAGGGGUGCUUGCACCCUGUCGGCGAGCGGCGAACGGCUGAGUAACGCGUAGGAAUUUGCCCCAAAGUGAGGAAUAACUGCCCGAAAGGGUAGCUAAUGCCGCAUAGGGUCUUCGGAUUAAAGGAUUUAUCCGCUUUGGGAGAAGCCUGCGUUGGAUUAGGUUGUUGGUAGGGUAAUGGCCUACCAAGCCGACGAUCCAUAGCUGGUCUGAGAGGAUGAUCAGCCAGACUGGAACUGAGACACGGUCCAGACUCCUACGGGAGGCAGCAGUGAGGAAUCUUCCACAAUGGGCGAAAGCCUGAUGGAGCAACGCCGCGUGAAGGAUGAAGGCCUUCGGGUUGUAAACUUCUUUUAUGAGUGAAGAAUAUGACGGUAACUCAUGAAUAAGCACCGGCUAACUACGUG
rnacentral:rRNA from 1 species